GUGCUUGAGCCCAGGAGUUCUGAGCUGUAACACAUUAUGCCUAUACAGUGUCCACACUAAAUUUGGCAUCAAUAUCGUGACCUCUUGAGAGCAGAGGACUACCUGGUUGCCUAAGGAGGGGUGAGUUGGCCCAGGUCAGAAACAGAGCAGGUCAAAACUCCUCUGCUGGUCAGUAGUGGGACUGAGCUUGUGAAUAACCACUGCACUCCAGCCUGGGCAAUUUAGCAC
rnacentral:sRNA from 1 species